AUUGAACGCUGGCGGCAUGCCUUACACAUGCAAGUCGAACGGUAACAGGUCUUCGGAUGCUGACGAGUGGCGAACGGGUGAGUAAUACAUCGGAACGUGCCUAGUAGUGGGGGAUAACUACUCGAAAGAGUGGCUAAUACCGCAUGAGAUCUACGGAUGAAAGCAGGGGAUCGCAAGACCUUGUGCUACUAGAGCGGCAGAUGGCAGAUUAGGUAGUUGGUGGGAUAAAAGCUUACCAAGCCGACGAUCUGUAGCUGGUCUGAGAGGACAGUCAGCCACACUGGGACUGAGACACGGCCAAGACUCCUACGGGAGGCAGCAGUGGGGAAUUUUGGACAAUGGGCGCAAGCCUGAUCCAGCAAUGCCGCGUGCAGGAUGAAGGCCUUCGGGUUGUAAACUGCUUUUGUACGGAACGAAAAGCCCCGGGUUAAUACCCUGGGGUCAUGACGGUACCGUAAGAAUAAGCACCGGCUAACUACGUGCCAGCCGCCGCCGUAA
rnacentral:rRNA from 1 species